AUUAUCGUAAGGUGGUGUCUGAAGGAGAUGCGGAAAGUCGAGAGACCCGUAGACGGUUUAGCAGACCGAAACGAAAAGUGAAGCACAUGUUGCGGCAGGGCAAGUUGAUGACCGUGCGAAAGAACGGGAAAUCUAAAUCAUUUAUUCAAAGAGCCAGUCGGGUAAAUGGAAGUUGUCAUGUGAAGGUGCUCGGUA
rfam:Anaerosporobacter mobilis DSM 15930 genome assembly, contig: EJ17DRAFT_scaffold00003.3